GGUUACACCCUACAUGCCACAGGGGACCAAGUAUGCACACAGCUGGGAAAUGCCACUUGGACUGAGCCCCCCCAAAGAAUAUGCAAGAGCUACAUAACCUAAACAAAAACUCCACAUUAUGUUGCAUAUUUCACUAGAAACAGUUUUGCUGUUGCUGGUUUUGCCUUCAACUCCACUGCAAUUUAGUGAUCCAUAAAGAUGUUGAGGCCACACUUCAGGAGAGGACGCUCACGUCCUUUAAAUGCACACUGCUGAGUGGCCCUAAUGAAGUCAGUGGGAGCACCAGUCUAUGCCAAUUGAGAGUACUUACAAACAAACAAAACCCCUCCGACAUCAUCUCCUGAUGUUCAAGGAUAGAAAGUUUGCUAACAGUA